rnacentral:rRNA from 1 species
UACGUAGGCAGCAAGCGUUGUUCGGAAUUACUGGGCGUAAAGAGUGUGUAGGCGGUGUUCUACGUCUGUUGUGAAAUCUCCCGGCUUAACUGGGAGGGUGCGGCGGAAACUGGAAUGCUAGAGGAUGGGAGAGGUAAGCGGAAUUCCUGGUGUAGCGGUGAAAUGCGUAGAUAUCAGGAGGAACACCUGUGGUGUAGACAGCUUACUGGACCAUUUCUGACGCUGAGACACGAAAGCGUGGGUAGCAAACAGG